CACCUCUCAAGCACAGCUUGGUGAUGGGCGCCUGUCCCCCGCGCUCUGCGGCGGGACUCGCCUGAAAAGCAUCGGCGUCCGGCGGCUGGUCUUGCGCGUAGCAGAUUGUUCGCACAAGGGCCGGUCCGCAGGGCUGCCGCACACGUCAAUUGCAUCUCCGU
rnacentral:misc_RNA from 1 species